UGCCAGCCGCCGCGGUAAUACGUAGGGUGCAAGCGUUAAUCGGAAUUACUGGGCGUAAAGCGUACGUAGGUGGUUUGGUAAGUCGGAUGUGAAAUCCCCGGGCUCAACCUGGGAAUUGCAUUCGAAACUGCCUCACUAGAGUCUAGCAGAGGGAUGGGGAAUUCCGGGUGUAGCGGUGAAAUGCGUAGAUAUCUGGAAGAACACCCGUGGCGAAGGCGGUCUCUUGGUCCUAUACUGACGCUGAGACGCGAAAGCGUGGGGAGCAAACAGGAUUAGAUA
rnacentral:rRNA from 1 species